UCUACUUUGUGCUAAUUCAUUUUCUAGGUGGUGGGUGGAGCAAACUAUUUCAUUGAAUUCGAGGCCAGAGAAACCACAUGUUCCAAGGAAAGUAAUAAAGAGUUGACUGAAAGUUGUGAGAUCAAUAAAGUUGGAGAAAUUCUAAGAUGCACUGCUGAUGUUUAUGUGGUACCUUGGGAGAAUAAAAUUGAGUCUACUGUCAAAUGUCAAUCACCAGGAAAGGAGCAACUUAGAAAUUGCGUGUACAGGGGUCGACCUUGGGAGGCAAGGGCAGAGC